UCUGGAUAAACUGGCCACUUACGUAAAUGUAGUAUUGACCCCUUCUCUCUUAUCCUUUUCAUAUUUAUUGAUAUAAGCAUCCAUAAAAUCUGUACCGUCCCCAUCGAUGACA
rnacentral:snoRNA from 13 species